AGAGUUUGAUCAUGGCUCAGGAUGAACGCUGGCGGCGUGCUUAACACAUGCAAGUCGAACGAUGAAAGCGGGAGCUUGCUCCUGCUGGAUUAGUGGCGAACGGGUGAGUAACACGUGAGUAACCUGCCCUUGACUCUGGGAUAAGCGUUGGAAACGACGUCUAAUACCGGAUACGACCUUCGGAGGCAUCUCCUGGGGGUGGAAAGAAUUUCGGUCAAGGAUGGACUCGCGGCCUAUCAGCUAGUUGGUGAGGUAAUGGCUCACCAAGGCGACGACGGGUAGCCGGCCUGAGAGGGUGACCGGCCACACUGGGACUGAGACACGGCCCAGACUCCUACGGGAGGCAGCAGUGGGGAAUAUUGCACAAUGGGCGCAAGCCCUGAUGCAGCAACGCCGCGUGAGGGACGACGGCCUUCGGGUUGUAAACCUCUUUUAGUAGGGAAGAAGCGAAAGUGACGGUACCUGCAGAAAAAGCACCGGCUAACUACGUG
rnacentral:rRNA from 1 species